AUUGAACGCUGGCGGCAGGCCUAACACAUGCAAGUCGAACGAGUGGCGGACGGGUGAGUAAUGUCUGGGAACCUGCCUGAUGGAGGGGGAUAACUAUUGGAAACGGUAGCUAAUACCGCAUACCAUCGGAUGUGCCCAGUUGUGAUUAGCUAGUAGGUGGGGUAAAGGCUCACCUAGGCGACGAUCCCUAGCUGGUCUGAGAGGAUGACCAGCCACACUGGGACUGAGACACGGUCCAGACUCCUACGGGAGGCAGCAGUGGGGAAUAUUGCACAAUGGGCGCAAGCCUGAUGCAGCCAUGCCGCGUGUAUGAAGAAGGCCUUCGGGUUGUAAAGUACUUUCGGCAGGGAGGCGGUACCCGAAGGAGAAGCACCGGCUAACUCCGUGCCAGCAGCCGCGGUAAUAC
rnacentral:rRNA from 1 species